GCUUUUGAGUAGACAGGGAAGAAGGAGGCGUUCCCUACACGCCCAUUUAACUCCCACCAGCCAAUGAUGAAGCAGCAUUCACAUCCACCUGGCAGGUACGAGCUCUCUCCCUCCUCGUCCAAUCAGCAGCGCUCAGUGUGAGCACAGAGAGGUCAAGACUUCAGAGGAUGUGACUCACUCACAAUCCUGGAUGACUAGUCUGAAAGAAGGAGGGGGGUUGGAGAGAGAACAUGAGAUGUUCCUUUU